rnacentral:rRNA from 1 species
GCAAGUCGAACGGUGAAGCCCAGCUUGCUGGGUGGAUCAGUGGCGAACGGGUGAGUAACACGUGAGCAACCUGCCCUCCACUUCGGGAUAAGCCUUGGAAACGGGGUCUAAUACCGGAUAUGAGCGCCCAUCGCAUGGUGGGUGUUGGAAAGUUUUUCGGUGGGGGAUGGGCUCGCGGCCUAUCAGCUUGUUGGUGGGGUGAUGGCCUACCAAGGCGUCGACGGGUAGCCGGCCUGAGAGGGCGACCGGCCACACUGGGACUGAGACACGGCCCAGACUCCUACGGGAGGCAGCAGUGGGGAAUAUUGCACAAUGGGCGAAAGCCUGAUGCAGCGACGCCGCGUGAGGGAUGACGGCCUUCGGGUUGUAAACCUCUUUCAGCAGGGAAGAAGCGCAAGUGACGGUACCUGCAGAAGAAGCGCCGGCUAACUACGUGCCAGCAGCCGCGGUAAUACGUAGGGCGCAAGCGUUGUCCGGAAUUAUUGGGCGUAAAGAGCUCGUAGGCGGUCUGUCGCGUCU